rnacentral:rRNA from 1 species
AACGAACGCUGGCGGCAUGCCUAACACAUGCAAGUCGAACGAGACCUUCGGGUCUAGUGGCGCACGGGUGCGUAACGCGUGGGAACCUGCCCUUAGGUUCGGAAUAACUCCCCGAAAGGGGUGCUAAUACCGGAUAAUGUCUUCGGACCAAAGAUUUAUCGCCUUUGGAUGGGCCCGCGUUGGAUUAGCUAGUUGGUAGGGUAAAAGCCUACCAAGGCGACGAUCCAUAGCUGGUCUGAGAGGAUGAUCAGCCACACUGGGACUGAGACACGGCCCAAACUCCCCCGGGGGGCAGAAGGGGGGAGUUUGUGCCAUUGGGCGAAACCCUGAUCCAGAAUUGCCGGGGGGUUGAGGAAGGCUUUGGGUUUGUAAAGCUUUUUUCCCCGGAAUGUUAAUAGCGGACCGGGGAGAAUAAGCCCCGGCAAACCCCGC